UUUCUGCUGUCUUCAGGGAAAUGAUGUGGAGUGUGUUUGCAUAUUGAUCAGAUCUUCAGUGUGUGAGAGUGUUUAUAGUGCUGUGAGUUUAACACUUCAUCACUGACACACACAACAAUCUUCAUCAACAUGACCUUCAUCAUCAUCUUCAUCUGGACUCUCACAGCGUUUGCUCAAGAGUGUAGAGGACAGAUCACCGUCACUCAGAGUCCCUCAAUAACAGCAGAACAACCAGGAGGAACUGUCAAUAUCAAAUGUACAACCAGCACAGAUGUGUACAGGGAUGAUGAUGGGGAUGAUUAUUUCAGCUGGUACUUACAGAAACCUGGAGAAGCUCCUAAACUCCUGAUUUAUUGGACAAACCGCCUCGAGUCAGGAACUCCAUCUAGAUUCAGUGGCAGUGGAUCUAACAGUGAUUUCACUCUGAGCAUCAGUGGAGUCCAGACUGAAGAUGCUGGACAUUAUUACUGUCAGAGUUAUCACUACAUCAACAGUGUAAAUAUGUUCACACAGUGA